GCGAAACUUCUCAUCAAGAAGGUGUCCAAUGUCAGAAUAAAGUCUGUUCACCAGGGAGAACCCAUGAUUUUCCCAGCUUUCCAUGCAUUUCUGAAGUGACAAUAUUGACUUUACGGCUUAAGUUUUGAAUGCAAUUUCAUUACCAAGACAGAGGCAAUCAGCAUGACAGAGCGCGUCCUGCAAAGCUGCAAGUUCCUGUCAGCUGGACCUGGGGUGCAUUGAAAGACGCACGAACCUAACGGGAGAGCACCAGCAUUCGGGCAAGGUGGAGGAGGAGGCCUACAUAAGAGGAACAUGGUGGUCGCAGAGUCGCUUCUACAUGUC